AGUGAACGCUGGCGGUAGGCCUAACACAUGCAAGUCGAACGGCAGCACAGUAAGAGCUUGCUCUUACGGGUGGCGAGUGGCGGACGGGUGAGGAAUACAUCGGAAUCUACUUUUUCGUGGGGGAUAACGUAGGGAAACUUACGCUAAUACCGCAUACGACCUACGGGUGAAAGCAGGGGAUCUUCGGCCCUUGCGCGAUUGAAUGAGCCGAUGUCGGAUUAGCUAGUUGGCGGGGUAAAGGCCCACCAAGGCGACGAUCCGUAGCUGGUCUGAGAGGAUGAUCAGCCACACUGGAACUGAGACACGGUCCAGACUCCUACGGGAGGCAGCAGUGGGGAAUAUUGGACAAUGGGCGCAAGCCUGAUCCAGCCAUACCGCGUGGGUGAAGAAGGCCUUCGGGUUGUAACGCCCUUUUGUUGGGAAAGAAAAGCAGCAGGUUAAUACCCCGCUGUUCUGACGGUACCCAAAGAAUAAGCACCGGCUAACUUCGUG
rnacentral:rRNA from 1 species